rnacentral:rRNA from 1 species
GAUCAAGCGACUAAGUGCAUGUGGUGGAUGCCUUGGCGAUCACAGGCGAUGAAGGACGUGUAAGCCUGCGAAAAGCGUGGGGGAGCUGGCAAUAGAGCUUUGAUCCCACGAUGUCCGAAUGGGGAAACCCACCCCGCAAGGGGUAUCCCAGACUGAAUACAUAGGUCUGAGGAGGCGAACCGAGCGAACUGAAACAUCUAAGUAGCUCGAGGAAAAGAAAUCAACCGAGAUUCCGUAAGUAGUGGCGAGCGAACACGGAAGAGCCUGCACGACUAAACCAUCAGCUUAGCAAAACGGUCUGGAAAGUCCGACGAUACAGGGUGAUAGUCCCGUAUGCGAAAAGCCGGUGGCGGGUCUGAGCGUGCGACAAGUAGGGCGGGACACGAGAAAUCCUGUCUGAAGAUGGGGGGACCAUCCUCCAAGGCUAAAUACUCGUGAUCGACCGAUAGUGAACCAGUACCGUGAGGGAAAGGCGAAAAGAACCCCGGGAGGGGAGUGAAAUAGAUCCUGAAACCGCAUGCAUACAAACAGUGGGAGCCUCGUAAGGGGUGACUGCGUACCUUUUGUAUAAUGGGUCAGCGACUUACGUUCAGUUGCGAGCUUAACCGAAUAGGGGAGGCGUAGCGAAAGCGAGUCUGAUAAGGGCGUCAGAGUAGCUGGGCGUAGACCCGAAACCGGAUGAUCUAUCCAUGGCCAGGAUGAAGGUGCCGUAACAGGUACUGGAGGUCCGAACCCACUAACGUUGAAAAGUUAGGGGAUGAGCUGUGGAUAGGGGUGAAAGGCUAAACAAAUCCGGAAAUAGCUGGUUCUCCCCGAAAACUAUUUAGGUAGUGCGUCGUACGGACACUUGCGGGGGUAGAGCACUGUAAUCGUUGGGGGGGUCAUUGCGAUCUACCCCGCGAUAGCAAACUCCGAAUACCGCAAAGUGAUAUACGGCAGACAGACAUCGGGUGCUAACGUCCGGUGUCAAGAGGGAAACAACCCAGACCGCCAGCUAAGGUCCCAAAUGCAUGGCUAAGUGGCAAACGAGGUGGGAAGGCAUAGACAGCUAGGAGGUUGGCUUAGAAGCAGCCACCCUUUAAAGAAAGCGUAAUAGCUCACUAGUCGAGUCGUCCUGCGCGGAAGAUGUAACGGGGCUCAAGCCAUGAACCGAAGCUGCGGAUGUGU